GACAGAGGGGGCAAGCGUUGCUCGGAAUUACUGGGCGUAAAGGGCGCGUAGGCGGGAUGGCAAGUCGGUCGUGAAAUCCCUCGGCUCAACCGAGGAACGUCGAUCGAUACUGCUGUUCUUGAGGAUUGCAGAGGAGACUGGAAUUCCCGGUGUAGCGGUGAAAUGUGUAGAGAUCGGGAGGAACACCAGUGGCGAAGGCGGCUAUCUGGACGGUUUCUGACACUAAGACUCGAAAGCGUGGGGAGCAAACAGG
rnacentral:rRNA from 1 species